CCUACGGGAGACAGCAGUGAGGAAUAUUGGGCAAUGGGCGGGAGCCUGAACCAGCCAAGUCGCGUGAGGGAAGACGGUCCUAUGGAUUGUAAACCUCUUUAGGCGGGGAGCAAUGCCGGGCACGCGUGCCCGGAGGGAGAGUACCCGCAGAAUAAGCAUCGGCUAACUCCGUGCCAGCAGCCGCGGUAAUACGGAGGAUGCGUGCGUUAUCCGGAUUUAGUGGGUUUAAAGGGUGCGUAGGCGGAUUUUUAAGUCAGCGGUAAAAUGUCCGGGCUCAACCCGGGCCGGCCGUUGAAACUGGGGAUCUUGAGUGGGCGAGAAGUAUGCGGAAUGCGUGGUGUAGCGGUGAAAUGCAUAGAUAUCACGCAGAACUCCGAUUGCGAAGGCAGCAUACCGGCGCCCGACUGACGCUGAGGCACGAAAGCGUGGGGAUCGAACAGGAUUAGAUACCCUAGUAGUC
rnacentral:rRNA from 1 species